GACCGAGGGUGCAAACGUUGCUCGGAAUUACUGGGCGUAAAGGGCUCGUAGGCGGCCAACUAAGUCACACGUGAAAUCCCCAGGCUUAACCUGGGAACUGCGUGUGAUACUGGAUGGCUUGAAUUCGGGAGAGGGAUGCAGAAUUCCAGGUGUAGCGGUGAAAUGCGUAGAUAUCUGGAGGAAUACCGGUGGCGAAGGCGGCAUCCUGGACCGACAUUGACGCUGAGGAGCGAAAGCUAGGGGAGCAAACGGG
rnacentral:rRNA from 1 species